AGAGUUUGAUCMUGGCUCAGAUUGAACGCUGGCGGCAUGCCUUACACAUGCAAGUCGAACGGCAGCACGGGUGCUUGCACCUGGUGGCGAGUGGCGAACGGGUGAGUAAUACAUCGGAACAUGUCCUGUAGUGGGGGAUAGCCCGGCGAAAGCCGGAUUAAUACCGCAUACGAUCUACGGAAGAAAGCGGGGGACCUUCGGGCCUCGCGCUAUAGGGUUGGCCGAUGGCUGAUUAGCUAGUUGGUGGGGUAAAGGCCUACCAAGGCGACGAUCAGUAGCUGGUCUGAGAGGACGACCAGCCACACUGGGACUGAGACACGGCCCAGACUCCUACGGGAGGCAGCAGUGGGGAAUUUUGGACAAUGGGCGAAAGCCUGAUCCAGCAAUGCCGCGUGUGUGAAGAAGGCCUUCGGGUUGUAAAGCACUUUUGUCCGGAAAGAAAUCCUGAGGGCUAAUAUCCUUCGGGGAUGACGGUACCGGAAGAAUAAGCACCGGCUAAC
rnacentral:rRNA from 1 species